AAGCUACUCAUAUAGUCUGUUUUUACUGGAACUAGGUUUUCUAUUUUGUGUCUUAAAAGGAAUUCGUUCAGAUCACCUAGGUUGACUAACUUAUUGCUAUACAGUUUUCAUAGAAUUUCCUUCUUUUUGUCGUAUUCCUAUUUCUUUUUGUAAUAUUAGUAGUGAGGGCCUUUCUUUCAUUCCUGAUUGUAGUAAUUUGGGUUUUUGCUCACUUGCUCUUUGCUUAAACUGAUGAAAGUUUUACCAAUUUAUUGAUCUUUUCAAAGAAACAACGUGUGGUUUUGUCAAUUUUCUCUAUUUAGAGAAUUUUCUCUAUUUUAGAUAGAUAUAGCUGUAGAUAGAUUGGAGUGAAUAAAUAUACUAUUUUUAUGAAAGACAGAGAAUGGCACCAUGAAAGGAUAUAGGUAGCCAUUGAAACAACUUCUCAUCCAUGUGUUGAUUUAAGUCCUUACCCAAAGGACUUAAAAUCACCACACUGCAGUGACACAGCCACAUCAAUAUUUAUAGUACCUCAAUUCAUAAUAGCCAAGCUAUGGAACCAACUUAGGUGCCCUACAACAGAUAAAUGGAUAAAUAAUAUGUGGUACAUAUACACAAUGGGAUAUUACUCAGCCAUAAAGAAGAAUUAAAUUAUGGCUUUUACCCGUAAAUGGAUAGAACUGGAGACUGUCAUGCUAAGUGAAAAAAGCCGAUUCAAAAACAAAACCAAAUACCAAAUGUUCUCUCUGAUAUGGAUGCUAACCCACAAAACGAAGGAUAGGGAGAGGAAGAUCAGAAGUUCACUAGAUUAAACAAAGGGUUAUGAAGGGAGAGGAGGAUGAGAAUAGGAAAGACAGUAGAAUGAAUCAAACUUAACUUUCCUAUGUUCAUAUAUGAAUAUGCCACCAGUGAAACUCCACAUCAUGUACAACCAUAAGAAUGAAAUUCUAAUUAACAUAAGUUAUACUCCAUGUAUGUAUAAUAUAUCAAAAUAUAUACUCUAUUGUCAUGUACAUCUAAAAAGAAUAAAUUUUUUAAAAAACAAAACUUUUAAAAAGACUCAAUGAUCCUACUGACUUGAGCAGGUUGCUUGGCUUCAGUGAGCACCAGUUUCCUCAUCUGAAAAAGAGAUAUUAUAAUUCAUGUCUUACAAUUUUAUAAUGAAAAUUAAGAAAUCUGUACAAUAAUCUGCAUAGUUCCUGGAGAUAAAUUGUUUCUCAAUAUAUUUUAUAAAGUAUAUCAGCAAGUGUUAACUGUUAUAGGGACAAAAAAACUAAAAAA
rnacentral:lncRNA from 1 species